ACACUGAAGGGAGGUGGUUCGGCAGAUGUAUGCAUACCGGACGCGUGAGGUGGCUGCGGGCCAGUAGCCCGCCGUCGUACUCGGUUCGGCGCCGGACCAGCGCGUGUGCGUCACGCGCGACCGGCCAAUCCAACGCAGUCACCCGGCCCGUGGGCUCGCCGGUACGUCCGGCCGGCUCCUCGUCUUCGGACGAGGACCUGAGCCCGCGGGCCGUCUGCG
rnacentral:sRNA from 1 species